ensembl:lncRNA
GUGAGUAAUUGAUUUCCUCUCAUAUUAUUUAUACAGUAAAAUUCUAUGUUUAUAUGUUUCAGUUCCUUAAUGUAAGAAUGUAUUAAAUGUGGUCAUACCACAUGUGCCGUAAUACAAUUUGUAGAAUUUAUUAUAUUGUGCCAAAUGUGAUAUAUCUAGUAGUGAUACAAUUAAAGUCCAUAUACAGAUUUCACUCAUUAAUACAGACCUUCUUGAUGGACAGAAAGGACCAACACACUGAAUUUGUUAAACUGGAAAGGUUAUAAUGUAAAAUAGAUUUUCCUCCGAAUAUUGAUACAGGGUGGUGAAUAGUUAUGCGAAAAUGCGAACUGCUGUGUCACAAAAGAUAUUGUCACCUUAAAAUGAUAAAUCUUAGACAAUAUUGAGUAAAUCAAAUGCUAAAAUCUCAGUUAAGUCCAUCUCAAUUCCAAUUUGUAACACGUAGAACAAAAGGUGGAAAAGGUUCAAGGGCAAAGGGGGUGAAUAUUUAUGCAAGGCACUGUAUAUUCCCUCCUUAUAAUCUUGGAUAGCCGUAUUACUGUCAGCAUCAGCAUCUAUUCAUAUGACUGGGUGUACAGUGUUCUUGUGAUGAGGAGUAUCAUAUUUCGAGACAAAACCUUAAAGCUAAUGAAAGAAAUAUAGUAUACAGUCACAAGAAGGCUCCUAUGGAGCGAAAUAAGGGGAGAGAAAGAGAUUUAACCAGAACAGAGAGGGGGAAAGAGAGCUUUUGUAAGGGUGUGAUGAGACUCUGCAGGGUGCCCAGCCAGAUAGUCUGCUUGUAGGCAUCAGGAUCCAGAUGCUCGCCCAGCUGUUCUUCUUUCCAGACGAAUAUCCCCCUCUGAAUUAAAGCCAGAGGGUUAUGCCUUAUCCCAGUGCUAGCAGACUUUGAUCCUGUGAGAGCAUGUCUUGGAUAUGGACAUGGUUCAACAUGGAAAAAGUUCUCCAUUCUCAGUGGGAGAUGAGAAAGCUGAGCAGGAUCAUUACUGAAGCAUUGUGUUUCUGUGUGUUUUGAGAGAAUGCUGAAAUAACAUUUGGACAGCUGCUCUACUUUCAUCAGAAGUCUUCCACUUGCUCCCUCCAGCACUGCAAUGCUGGUUGCAUCAAUGCCCCCUGGAGGCCAGCUGGAAAAGGGGCAGUUUAGAGGUGACACUGCCAUCUGGCUUUUGAAAUUAAAAGCAGAUCUCUAAAUGUGUAUCUAGGGUCGUUUAUUUAUUUAUUUAUUGGUCAUAUAGCAUCUAACAUCUGAAUCUGACCCCUCUGCACAUGCAUUAUAAUCACAAGUCAGUGUGACCAGUGACUCCCCCCCCCCCCUGAAGUUUUCCUACUUGAGCAUUCUCCUCAAGACCAUUCCCACAGUUUCAUGCAGUGGUCCAGUCACGAGUCACGAGGGUCAGGGGAAGAAAUGAAAGAACGCUUUUCUGAGCCUAUACCUCACACAACAGGAAAUUUUACAGUGCAUCGAUUAUAGUGUUUGUAAGAAGGUUGAAGAUGAUUGCUCAGAUACAUUUAUGCUCUCUGGCACGGCUUGGCUAUUGUGCCUGCUCCAUUCACUUAAAUUUUAUUGCAAAACAAACACAUUCAUUACACAACAUUUCUAACUGUA